GUGCCAGCAGCCGCGGUAAUACGUAGGGUGCGAGCGUUAAUCGGAAUUACUGGGCGUAAAGCGUGCGCAGGCGGUCUGUUAAGACAGAUGUGAAAUCCCCGGGCUUAACCUGGGAACUGCAUUUGUGACUGGCAGGCUAGAGUAUGGCAGAGGGGGGUAGAAUUCCACGUGUAGCAGUGAAAUGCGUAGAGAUGUGGAGGAAUACCGAUGGCGAAGGCAGCCCCCUGGGCCAAUACUGACGCUCAUGCACGAAAGCGUGGGGAGCAAACAGGAUUAGAUACCCUGGUAGUCC
rnacentral:rRNA from 1 species